GGCUUCCUGCACCCAGUGAAAACCUUGCCUUCUGGGAGAAAGCAGGAGCUUCCUGGGGACCGGAGAGGAAACAAAUGUGGCCCGCGCAGGCAGGGUCCCCACAGGAUCCAGAGACGUCAGGCAGCACCUGCUCUGCCCUCCCUCUGAGCUCACAGCAGCAAGCAAGCUGUCAGAGUGACGUGACUCCAGAGCCUGCAGGGGCACUGCGUUGUGAUGGAAGGAGAGAUGGGCCGCUCCCCAAGAAUGCUUACUGUAACAGUCGCCGUGGUCCUGGGUUCCCUUCUACAAAGGGUUUCGUGCAGCCUGAUGCUACAGAGACCAGCGCAGGAGGAAGGCCUCGGGGGGCGCAUUCCCUUCUCAGCAGGUAG
rnacentral:lncRNA from 1 species